UGCAAGUCGAACGAAACUUUCUUACACCGAAUGCUUGCAUUCACCGUAAGAAGUUGAGUGGCGGACGGGUGAGUAACACGUGGGUAACCUGCCUAAAAGAAGGGGAUAACACUUGGAAACAGGUGCUAAUACCGUAUAUCUCUAAGGAUCGCAUGAUCCUUAGAUGAAAGAUGGUUCUGCUAUCGCUUUUAGAUGGACCCGCGGCGUAUUAACUAGUUGGUGGGGUAACGGCCUACCAAGGUGAUGAUACGUAGCCGAACUGAGAGGUUGAUCGGCCACAUUGGGACUGAGACACGGCCCAAACUCCUACGGGAGGCAGCAGUAGGGAAUCUUCCACAAUGGACGCAAGUCUGAUGGAGCAACGCCGCGUGAGUGAAGAAGGUCUUCGGAUCGUAAAACUCUGUUGUUAGAGAAGAACACGAGUGAGAGUAACUGUUCAUUCGAUGACGGUAUCUAACCAGCAAGUCACGGCUAACUACGUGCCAGCAGCCGCGGUAAUACGUAGGUGGCAAGCGUUGUCCGGAUUUAUUGGGCGUAAAGGGAACGCAGGCGGUCUUUUAAGUCUGAUGUGAAAGCCUUCGGCUUAACCGGAGUAGUGCAUUGGAAACUGGAAGACUUGAGUGCAGAAGAGGAGAGUGGAACUCCAUGUGUAGCGGUGAAAUGCGUAGAUAUAUGGAAGAACACCAGUGGCGAAAGCGGCUCUCUGGUCUGUAACUGACGCUGAGGUUCGAAAGCGUGGGUAGCAAACAGGAUUAGAUACCCUGGUAGUCCACGCCGCAAACGAUGAAUGCUAGGUGUUGGAGGGUUUCCGCCCUUCAGUGCCGCAGCUAACGCAAUAAGCAUUCCGCCUGGGGAGUACGACCGCAAGGUUGAAACUCAAAGGAAUUGACGGGGGCCCGCACAAGCGGUGGAGCAUGUGGUUUAAUUGGAAGCAACGCGAAGAACCUUACCAGGUCUUGACAUCCUUUGACCACCUAAGAGAUUAGGCUUUCCCUUCGGGGACAAAGUGACAGGUGGUGCAUGGCUGUCGUCAGCUCGUGUCGUGAGAUGUUGGGUUAAGUCCCGCAACGAGCGCAACCCUUGUUGUCAGUUGCCAGCAUUAAGUUGGGCACUCUGGCGAGACUGCCGGUGACAAACCGGAGGAAGGUGGGGACGACGUCAAGUCAUCAUGCCCCUUAUGACCUGGGCUACACACGUGCUACAAUGGACGGUACAACGAGUCGCGAGACCGCGAGGUUUAGCUAAUCUCUUAAAGCCGUUCUCAGUUCGGAUUGUAGGCUGCAACUCGCCUACAUGAAGUCGGAAUCGCUAGUAAUCGCGAAUCAGCAUGUCGCGGUGAAUACGUUCCCGGGCCUUGUACACACCGCCCGUCACACCAUGAGAGUUUGUAACACCCAAAGCCGGUGGGGUAACCGCAAGGAGCCAGCCGUCUAAG
rnacentral:rRNA from 1 species